rnacentral:rRNA from 1 species
UACGUAGGGUGCAAGCGUUGUCCGGAAUUAUUGGGCGUAAAGAGCUCGUAGGCGGUUUGUCGCGUCUGCUGUGAAAACCCGAGGCUCAACCUCGGGCCUGCAGUGGGUACGGGCAGACUAGAGUGCGGUAGGGGGAGAUUGGAAUUCCUGGUGUAGCGGUGGAAUGCGCAGAUAUCAGGAGGAACACCGAUGGCGAAGGCAGAUCUCUGGGC